AGGGUUUGAUCCUGGCUCAGAACGAACGCUGGCGGCGUGGAUAAGACAUGCAAGUCGAGCGCGAAUUCUGGUGUAGCAAUACAUCAGAGUUUGAGCGGCGCAAGGGUGCGUAACACGUGGGUAAUUUGCCGUGAAGUUGGGGAUAACUCGCUGAAAGGCGAGCUAAUACCGGAUGUGGUUAUUGGGUGGCAUCACCUGAUCACUAAAGCUGGGGAUCGUAAGACCUGGCGCUUCAUGAUAAGCCCGCGGCCUAUCAGCUAGUUGGUGCGGUAACGGCGCACCAAGGCUAAGACGGGUAGCUGGUCUGAGAGGACGACCAGCCACACUGGAACUGAGACACGGUCCAGACACCUACGGGUGGCAGCAGUCGAGAAUUUUUCUCAAUGGGCGCAAGCCUGAAGGAGCGACGCCGCGUGUGGGAUGAAGGGUUUCGAUCCGUAAACCACUGUCAUUUGUGAACAAUGGUUAUUAUUUAAAAGAUGAUAACUUGAUAGUAAUGAAAGAGGAAGGGACGGCUAACUCUGUGCCAGCAGCCGCGGUAAUACAGAGGUCCCGAGCGUUGUUCGGAUUCACUGGGCGUAAAGGGUGCGUAGGUGGCAUGUUAAGUUUGAUGUGAAAGCUCAGGGCUCAACCCUGAAAUGGCAUUGAAUACUAGCGUGCUGGAGGUUUGGAGGGGGGACUGGAAUUCUCGGUGUAGCAGUGAAAUGCGUAGAUAUCGAGAGGAACACCAGUGGCGAAGGCGAGUCCCUGGACAACACCUGACACUGAGGCACGAAAGCUAGGGGAGCAAACAGGAUUAGAUACCCUGGUAGUCCUAGCCCUAAACGGUGCGCAUUUGCUGUAAGAGGAAUCGACCCCUUUUGUGGCGAAGCUAACGCGAUAAAUGCGCCGCCUGGGGAGUACGGUCGCAAGA
rnacentral:rRNA from 1 species